GACGAACGCUGGCGGCGUGCUUAACACAUGCAAGUCGAACGGAAAGGCCCUGCUUUUGUGGGGUGCUCGAGUGGCGAACGGGUGAGUAACACGUGAGUAACCUGCCCUUGACUUUGGGAUAACUUCAGGAAACUGGGGCUAAUACCGGAUAGGAGCUCCUGCUGCAUGGUGGGGGUUGGAAAGUUUCGGCGGUUGGGGAUGGACUCGCGGCUUAUCAGCUUGUUGGUGGGGUAGUGGCUUACCAAGGCUUUGACGGGUAGCCGGCCUGAGAGGGUGACCGGCCACAUUGGGACUGAGGUACGGCCCAGAGUCCUAAGGGAGGCAGCAGUGGGGAAUAUUGCAAGAUGGGGGGAAGGCUGGUGCAGCAACGCCGGGUGCGGGAUGACGGCCUUCGGGUUGUAAACCGCUUUCGCCUGUGACGAAGCGUGAGUGACGGUAAUGGGUAAAGAAGCACCGGCUAACUACGUG
rnacentral:rRNA from 1 species